rnacentral:rRNA from 1 species
GACAGAGGAGGCGAGCGUUAUCCGGAGUUACUGGGCGUAAAGCGCGCGCAGGUGGUGGGGUAAGUGGCUUGUGAAAUCUCCAUGCUAAACGUGGAGGGAGCAGGUCAGACUGCCUGACUAGAGGGUGAUAGAGGGGCGUGGAAUUCCGGGUGUAGCGGUGAAAUGUGUAGAUAUCCGGAGGAACACCAGAGGUGCAGACGGCGCCCUGGGUCACACCUGACACUGAGGCGCGAAAGCUUGGGGAGCGAACGGG